rnacentral:lncRNA from 1 species
GGAGUUGAGAAUUACUGACGUGAAUGGCAAAGAAGGAAAGCCAGCAAGUAAGAGAUGGAAAGAAAAGAGAAGUGUCAAGAGACUAGAGGAACGGAAGAAGUACAUUAGGAAACAAACUGACAAGAGGUCAUCUUGAGGAGAAUAUCAGACUUGAAGAUUUUUAUUGUUUGAGUUGUCUGGAUGAAGACUAGAUGCAGGCUGUGGCCAUAAGUAGUGAGGAAAUUGCAUUUCGAGUAGUUAAGGAUUAAUGUAGUAAUAUUUACUACAUGGCACACAUUAUUUUAUGCACUUAGGAUUCAGUGGUAUGUGAUCUGAGAUGAAGUUCCCGGGCUGUAACCUGGCCAGAAGCUUGAAGUCUUUACCCCAAGAUAUAAACAGAGCACAAGAAUCAGGCUGACAAUUGGGAUGACAAUGACUCACAUUCACUAGCUUGUUUCAAAUAAUUUAACAUACACUAGGAAAUUAAAUGUUUAAUGAAUGAAUGAUCUAUCUGAUCAUUCAGCUUCUCCCAUUCUGACUCUUCAAACCAUUGCUUAAUUAGCUACAGGAUAUUAUUGGUUAGACUGAUACAAAUAAUUGUCUGAAAACAAUAGGGAGUCUCUGCAAAGUGAUCCAUGGUUUCAAUCCACCUUCACUCACUAGCAUGCUCAAGACAAGACGAUUCUUCUUCCUCUUGUACCUAAGAAGCAGAAAACCUCCAACCCAAACACCGAUGCUUCAUAUAGAAGACAGUUCACAAAAUAAAGAGCACUGGAUUAGAAAUCUAGUCUUGGCUCUGCAAUUAAUCUUGGCACUUUGUAGAAGGCACUCAGCAAUCUGUGUUAUGGUUUCCUCCAAUAUAAAAUGAAACAAAUGGGCGAGAUUACCUUCAAGGUCUUUCCAAGACUGAUAUUCUAAGAAAAGUUUGUGUGAAACUACCCUUCAGUGCCAUCUGGCCUCAAAGGCCCUCCACAUUCAUAAUCAUAUGUAGCUUUGUAGGAAAAUGAUAAGUGGAAUAAAGAAUUCAACUUGAUAUUUAUUAAACUUUUACCAACAUAAAAGCAUACUGGGCAAACCAAAGAAUAAGACGCGGUCCUUGACAAGCCCUCUUUUAUACAGAGGAGGGGAAAAGGGAGAAGACAAAAUUUCUGUAUUCAUAACAUUUACUACAAUCUAGCCAGGGAAACAAAAUUUAAUUCACUUUAAUUCCUCAAAUAUUAAAUAUGUUUUGUGUAAAAGGGUAGUUUUCAAAUCUUGAUGAGUAGAAUCAACUAUGAUGCUUUCUGGAAAAAAAAAGAAAGAAAGAAAGAAAGAAAUAUAGAUUCCCCAAAACAUGAUUCAGUAGGUCCACGUACGGCUAAAAAGCACUCUUGAUGAUGCUGGUGACCUUUUGUUAAGAAACUCUGCCUUAGUCUAGCUAACAAAAAGUUUGAGUUAGUCCAGUUAAAAGAAAAACUUUCAAUUGAUUCAUGAAUAGGACAGACCCCAAUUGAAAGUAGUUCAAUGACUUAGGGCUGAAGGGAUAAGGAGGAUUUUCACAGGAUGAAUGCAGAAACAAGGCAAAGAAAACAUUUGAUUAAAGUGGAGCAACAGCCUGAUUUGGACCAUUCCAGUGAAAAGUCCCUAGUUAAAGGUUAAUUGGCAGUUUCUGAUUGGUUAAGACAGUUUACAUUGAAUUAGGUUUCAGUUUGCUUAUGUAGGAACACAGGGCACUGGAGGUACCCCAGUCUAAUCACUUCCCAUUUAAUUAUUUUAACAGUUUAAAAAAAGCUGUUUCUAGACCCUGAAUUCAUCUCAAGACUAUAUACCCAUAACUAGAAACAAACUGCAAGCCAUUAAAAAUAAGCAAAAGUCGGCCAGAGCUUGUACACUUGUGUAUUUCAGUGGUUCUCAAGUGUGUCUGCACUUUAGGAUUAACCUGUGGGGAAAAGCAAGAGAGAUCAGAUUGUUACUGUGUCUGUGUAG